UACGAAGGGGGCUAGCGUUGCUCGGAAUCACUGGGCGUAAAGGGUGCGUAGGCGGCUUUGUAAGUCAGUGGUGAAAUAUGGCAGCUUAACUGUCAAGGUGCCAUUGAUACUGCAGAGCUUGAGUACAGAUGAGGUAGGCGGAAUUGACGGUGUAGCGGUGAAAUGCUUAGAUAUCGUCAAGAACACCUAUAGCGAAGGCAGCUUACUAAGCUGUAACUGACGCUGAGGCACGAAAGUGUGGGGAUCAAACAGG
rnacentral:rRNA from 1 species